rnacentral:lncRNA from 1 species
CAUGAAUGGGACUAUUUUGUGUAGCACAUGAACAUCCUUUAGAUGUGAUUCGGAAUAAAAUAAAGAUGCUAUAUGAUUGUCAGAAAUACACUUGUAACUUUGGUGGCGGGAUAUACCCGCAACCAAAAAGGAUACUUAUUUUUGUGGACAAAAUCUAUUUGGGUUGAAAAUUGCACAUUGGAAACUAAGGGAAGUAACUGAAUCCCAUUUGUUAAUGCAAUAUUUACUCAAUUCGACCAACCAUUGCAAGUAUUGCUCUGGAAGGCCGAACAGUUAGACAAGUGGACGAAAAGAAAGACGAGCAUACCGAGAGUUCAGAGUGAAACUGUUUUAAGUACAUACAGAUUUGUUUUUUUAAAAAAAAAAACGCUUUUACUCUCAUCUCUCGAUAUGGACAAUGGUGAAAUCAUAUCCCACGACUAACCGUAGAGCUGAAAAGCAGUAAUCAUUAUUGCAGUCUCAUUAUUCAAAAAGGAUCAUUACUAUCCUCAGUCCACUUAAUUGCUAUCCCCUGUGCAGUUAUUUUAUUUGCUCCGUCUAUCCUCGGUACACUUUCAGGUCAUCAGAAAGCACAAAUAUCUCUGCAACAACAUAACGUAUCGUAUUGAUAUCUAACAGAAUACGGGACAAUAUAAUUUCAAUAAAAUCGCUCGAUUCAGUUUUUACUCUUAUUUUCUAUUUGUUGUUUUAUGUUAGAAAUCCUACCGCCUUACUGAACAUUUGUUAGUGAUCAUGGAGCUUUCAUCGAAAAGUGCACUAUUAUACAAGAAAGGAGACUCAUUUCCAUUAUAGACGUACAUUGCAUAUGAUUAAGCUAUUCAAAACUCUUCAAUUUUGAUAGAUAUAUCAACAUAAAAUACAAAAAAUGAUGAAAAACUUUCCGUGAGUCAAAAUAAAACGUUCAUUUUCUUAUCACUUUUUGAACUAUAUCUGGUGUCCGUUUCCCCACAGUGGUACUGUACUCCACUCCAGUGAAAGUGCUCAGGAGGGCUUCUAUUUUUAGAUGUGCCCACAGAUGUUCACUUCAAGAAUAAAAACAAAAACACUACUGUAUAGUGUGAAUGAAUGUGUAAAUGAACAGUUACUUCUAUGAUAUUUUCCAAAUUGACUGGUAUAAAUGGGUGUUAGUCAAAAUAAUUUGACGUUCAGACAUACAUGGGUGAGAUGGGGUGGGUAUGGGAGGUUGUGGGAAAAAUUUUGCAAAUUGCACCAUAAAUGACACGAUUUCCUUGCAUUUAAAUUCCAUAUAACAAGUUAUAUCAACACAUUAUUUGUGCCAGUUUUACCAAGAAGCUCUAUUUAAGCAAUGCUUGAAAUAAUUACGAAAAUCACUAAAGUUUCAAAACGUUUCAUUGUCUUGCUAACAGUAGACAUUCUUAUUAUUUAUAAAACAGUGCAACUGUAUUAAUGUGUUUGAAGCUUAUAAUAACAUAUUUCAUUGAGCUUUUCUUGCCAGGCAUCAAUCAUCGUCAGAAAAAAACUGAAGCAACGAACCAUUUAUAAAAGGGGUACAAACAGGAAAGAGAGAUGUAAAAGACAAAUAUUGGUCGUUUAUUUUUCUAUAAAAUGUAAUUGCAUACAUAUUCUGCAUAUAUAUUCUACAGAUAAUAUUUUUACCUGACGUGCUUUUGAUAUGUUACCUACUUCAUAGUUAUGUCAUACUAUUGUCAAACAAUAUCGGCCCUCAAGUAAGGCACAACUGCAUCCUUUACAAAGUUUGAGUAUAGACAAUUAUAUCGAAAAGUUUACACUUUCGCUUGAGUACAAAUGACGAGCGGCCACCCCACACCAAACAGAUAAUCCCCAAUUAACUUAUUGAUUUUUGACACUUUGCAUGCUGCUCGCUGAUAAUACACGUGUCUCUGGUAACGCUCCAUUGCUUUCUUUUGUUCCGCCUCUCCAAUUUUGCAUAAGCGUAGAAAGUUGAUGACAAAAUCUGGACAUUUUCAAAAUAUUUGAAACACCGUCUUGCAGUUACUGGCCGAAUUAUUGGGGUGGCAACUGCCGCCCUAGUCGCAACGCCUCUGGUAAAGUGUAGGCAGCAAUGAAAGUUUCAUUGGAAGUUGCUUCAACUAUAUUGGUCAUUCGAGUGUUUGAUGCGAGUGGGGAUAUUGCCCAUAUAAAAAAAAUAUCUCAGUAUUUCCUAGGAUCGCGUCAAAUUAGUUGGACUAAAAUGGGUGUAAAAGUGCCUUGUUUUAACUUUUCAUGUGUUUAUGCAGGCCUUAUUCUUUAACAGUUGAUGCGGUAUGGUAUGGGAUUUUAUACCGUGAAAAUAGAAUUAACUCCCCUUACGAAAGUGACCCUCACCUUGAUUUAAACAAAUGCUCGGAAUGUGAAAUUGCUGAUUUCUAUUGACAUUUGAAGCCAUUAUCCCUUGAGUUAGACAAGAUAGUAUAUGUUGAAGACAACAAAUAGAAAAGGGAAGACAUAGACAAGUAGAUAGAAGUCAAAGAAAAUAGAAAUAUAUGAGGUGGGGCUUGAUGCUGUAUGCCAUGGUCAUACUAAGAAGUUCAGACUGUUUUUCACAUACUUGUGUUCCUCAUGUAUGGCUUGAAGGAUUGUUACAGGAAAAGGUGAAGCCACAGGAAAACAAAGAAAAAAAGCUACAUACAAAGAAUUCCAGACAUACAGGGUUGUAGAUCUUUGUAGGAUCUUGUUGUGAGAUCCGAGACCAGGGAACAACUGGACUGAGUAAAAGUUGUUAUGUAUGAACCAGACACAAGGAGUAUAAAGACACAAUGAAAAUAUUUUGCGAUACAAGGUUGAUAAGGAACUUUGACGUACCAGGAACCACUGCUGCUGGAAUUGGAAACAUUUGUUACUGCCAAGCAGCUGUCCAGCAAAGUUUAUUCUGAACACAGGCAGCUAUAAUAAACUGUUGGGAUGUCAUAGUCUCACAUGCUAAACCAAUAGCCUGAGAGGCAUUCUGUCCCUGCUUCCUGUGGCUGGCAAUGACUGACUGGUUGAAGCACAUGUAUUGGGUAGUUACAGCAGAAGGCUACACAGUACACAGAAGAUUCCUGUAAUAAGCUACUAUACCAUCAAUGUAGAGAGUGAUGUUUCUUACUUCUGCUCAUAUAAAAAUGAUACAUCUGGAUAUGCUGGUACACAUAGAAUUGUAUGACCCUAACUGGAUUGUCCAGUAAGACAAAAUGGCUCCUGAUGCUGAGGUCCAGCUUUCUCAGGAACAGAAAAAGAUGGAUUAUUAUGCAUACUCCAGUUACAGAUUUGCAGUAGCUGUCAGCAGCCAAGAAGAACCAAUGGCCAUUCUGAAUAAAAGACCCACAUGAUCAGACAAGUUUGCAAGAUGACAAAUCCAUGCAAAGUGUGCUGACAUUCUGCCAAAGAUUCAAGUCUGGAAAUAUCACCGACAGACUUUAGACUCUUUGAUUUAGAUUUAAGAUUAAAAGAUGAUUGUGACUUAAGACUACAUGUAUUAUUAUCAGUAGUUUUCAGUCAAAGGCUUUUUCUGUUGUUGUUUUUUGUAUUCUUUCUUCAACAUUUCAAGGUCUGGAAAAUGACAAUAUUGGAUAUAUGUUUUUAUCAUAAAAUAAAAAAGUAGGUUUCAUUGUUUACAGGUGUAUGGAAUGAAUAUUUAUAAAGUGACUGUGUCUUUAAGACAUUGGGUGUUGUCUGCUAGAAUGCAGUAAUUAGUAAUUUUGUUUUUGAAAAGUUUUCAGGAAUUUUUAAAAAUUCCUUAUUUGUAAAGAAACAGAUCUUUUGAUACGAAGAUAUGUGGGAACAAAUUAAAUAACUUUUACAAAGAAAUUCUUCAUUUAUGUCCCGAGUCACAUGUAUCUAAGAUAUUUGACUUCCAUUUACUUACAACUGUAUUGCAUGAUGUUUUAGCAGUCAAAUCAUAACUGCAAAAAUGUUGUAACUUGACUUACUACACUUUUAUACUUCUUACUUUUUUAUUGAUCUGUAAGUUAUUUCCACUGAUAUCUAUUAGAUCUACUACUACAGUUUUACAUUUGACAUAAAACUAGAAAUGAUUCUUUUCUAAUUAUGUUUUUGACAAUUUUGCCCAUCAGUCUAUAGUUAAACACAUAAUUUUGCUUGACUAAAGUCAAAAUUUGGAGAUAAUGGAAAGAUAGAAAUUUAUUUCUGAUGCCAUGUAAUAUAACAUUUAUUGAAUGGCAUGUGAACAUUAUUCAAAGUUAUUACAUGACUCUUUAUAUAAAUCACCAUGCUACAGUUUGUGCUAUGUCUAUAUUCAUGAGAUUUGUACUAGACUACUACCAGUUAAUAAAAGAAUUAACAAGAAAAGUAUGAAAACUGAUUACUUAUAAAAUACUAAAGCUAAUGGCUUGCAAGUCAAUAGUCAAAACUAUUAUAUUUUAUCAGUUUUUUUAUUCUGGGUUUGCUGAUAGCAGUAUUAUUAGUUUUGACUAUUGACCAGCAAGUCAUUCAGAAAGUCUAUGACCAUUGGUCCCUUUGGACCUCCAUUAAUAGUAUACAACUUUCUACCUUAAGUUGUCAAUGGUUAAAAUUAUUCAGUCAAAGAAAAUGGCUUUACAUGCUCAGCAGAAAAUGUCUGACAAAGUCUAGGUUAAUAGUUGACUGAUGAUGGUCAAUAGUAGCUGUUUGAAGUGGGACAUAUUUCUCAAUGGCUGUUAUACCUCACAAUAUGUAAAAAAAAAAUACAGAAGCUAGUUUAGUGUAAAUCCUAC